rnacentral:tRNA from 1 species
GCCCCUGUAGUAUAGCGGUCAAGUAUCCGGCCCUCUCACGGCCGUGACCCGAGUUCGAAUCUCGGCGGGGGCG